CGAUUCUGGAGUCUACCGCAGUGCCUGACAUGCCGUGGAUUCAGUCUGAUGAGCUGCUGAAACAAGCAAUGAAGAACAUCAACCAAGUGAUAAAGAACAGCUUCGAGUGAGGACAGGAGCAGCACCUCUGCAUCUAUCAUCAGGCACUUUGCUUGGAGGAACCACCUCUCCCAGGCAGGGUGUGUGGUCCUGCAGAGGGUUUGCUCUGAUGCUCUUCCGCUCGGGCCCUCGUCUUGGCUGGAUCUCCCUAUACCUGUGGCCUCUGCACAUCCCAGCAGGAAGGUAGAGGAAGCUGGACUCUGAUGACUUGGUCUUUCCCUUCCCUGGUAUUUCCAGUGUUCACAACAACGUUAACAUCACCAGUGUAUAAACAGCUCUUUCCUGUUCCAAGAGCCAGAGAAGCAGUCCAGGAAAAAUGGAUGGAGACUAU